rnacentral:lncRNA from 1 species
CAAAAUAACCACAUCUUAAGUACAGUUUGACUUUCAUGACUAAAGAUAAAAAUUACAGGGAGGUAGGAUUUUAUUUCACUAUAAAGAUGAACUUCCUAACGGUUUGUAUUUUGUAGAAAUGAGAAACUGAUUACAUCUGCUUAUUUGGACAGUGAAUGGAACCACAUAUUCUGCCUGUUGGCAAACACCAAAUCUGUAUAGUUUAUUUUCUUCAAAGGGAAUCAUGAUUGCCAACAAUCACUCAGCACCAACAAUUUACUGAAUGUUUAUCUGCCUGCAUUCUUCUUGUGGCUGGAAAUGUAGCAGUGAACCAGACCGAGACCCUGAUCCGCUGGGUAUAUAGCUGGGGGAGUCAGACAUUCAUGAAAAUGACUUCUAGUGCCACAGAUAUUUCAAAAGAUGCAGUAAAGAGUUCUGUGGGUCUGAAUGAUAUGGUGUGCUAACCAAAUAUGUGAAGGUGGCGAAGGUCUCCUAGAAGAAUUGGUGCAAAACUUGAGUCUCAAAGGAUGAGCUGGGUGAGGAGUUGGGCACAGUAUUCUGGGCAGUGGGAACAUCAUGGACAGAAGCCUGAAUGCAGCGGAGAGACUGACUCACUUGUGGGCAUGAAGGAGAUCAGCAUGACUGGAUUGGAGCUCACUUCCUGGUGUUUUCACCUCAUUGCAUCCCUGGUUGGUUUCUGUUGCUUGCAAUGAAAGAACCCUUACAAAUGCAAUAAUGCAGAAGUAACAAUGAAGAUGACACUGAUUCACACAAGAUUUAAUUUGUUACAUGAGUAAAUAAACAAAGCAAAAUGAACAGAAUUUACUAUACUGCAUCCCUGCUGGGAGUAUGUUGAGCUAUCUGGCCUGGAAGGCCUUUGUGACCUGUUGAAAGAAUAUACAUGGAUUUACUUCAGGAGAAAAAUAAAGUGUUAUUUUAAAAAUGGAUCAUGUUCAUUGUAAUUAAGAAUAAAGGUUGUAAAAACUAUGGAUUGUGGCCGGGCUUGGUGCCUCACGCCUGUAAUCCCAGCACUUUGGGAGGCCGAGGCAGGUGAAUCACCUGAGGUCAGGAGUUCAAGACCAGCCUGACCAACAUGGUGA